UAGGAAGGGGACUAGCGUUGUUCGGAAUUACUGGGCGUAAAGCGCACGCAGGCGGAUUUAUAAGUCAGGGGUGAAAUCCCGGGGCUCAACCUCGGAAUUGCCCUUGAUACUGUCUAUCUUGAGUCCGGGAGAGGUGAGUGGAAUUCCUAGUGUAGAGGUGAAAUUCGUAGAUAUUAGGAAGAACACCAGUGGCGAAGGCGGCUCACUGGCCCGGUACUGACGCUCAUGUGCGAAAGCGUGGGGAGCAAACAGG
rnacentral:rRNA from 1 species